GCCUGGGUGGCUCAACUGGUUGAGCAUCUGACUCUUGAUUUCAGCUUAGGUCAUGAUCUCAGUCAUGGGUUUGAACCCCAUGUCAGGCU
rnacentral:tRNA from 1 species